AAAAUCUCGGGCGGCUGACGUGGCUCUUCCCUCCUUGCUCUUAAACUGAAUUCUCUCCUCUCAGCAUAUCUCAAUUAUUCCGCUGCCUCUUUUCUUCUUAUUUAAUUUUUAUUAUAUUUUAUGCUUGGCUCCCUCCUUGCUCUUAAACUGAAUUCUCUCCUCUCAGCAUAUCUCAAUUAUUCCGCUGCCUCUUUUCUUCUUAUUUAAUUUUUAUUAUAUUUUAUGCUUGGCUGAUCGGUUUCGUAACUGAAGCCUCAUCAUCUCCUCGGACGGUUGUACUGAAGCCUCAUCAUCUCCUCGGACAGUUGUUAUAAAUGAUCCUCCGGCAAUCGUUACUUUUCGCUUGAUUAUUUCUUGCUUGAAAAUUAGCUUCGCACACACUGUUGGACCUCUUUGUUGGGCUGGCUUGGCUAUAGCGAUUGUUGCUAACAGCUGUUAUUCUUCCGGUGGGCGUCCUCUUCUUCUUCUCUAGCUUAGUCGUGAAUCUUCUUCCGGGUAUACUUGCCGAAAGAUUUACAGGGUGGUUGCGAAGUUGUUGUGGCUGGAACCCUGAUUGAUUGGUGUGCUGCUGUUAAGGUCGGUUUCGGGUAGGUUGAAUACUCUGAUGGUCUUCUGCACCCAAGGGGGUCCCUGAUCAAGAUUUCUGCAAAUUACAGGGUUUGGGAAAGAGUUCGGCUGAAUCCUCUGAUGGUCUUUUGCACGCCAGGGUGUCCCUGAUCAUGAUUUGAGCAAAUUACAGGGUUUGGGAAAGAGUUUUGUUAACUUUCAAAAUAUCCAUAAAUUCUUGAGGCGACUCCAAAUUGAUCUACUUCUAAAAUGAUGCAGCCUGGACAUUUGCUCAGGUGUAGUAAUUAUAAUUUAAAUGUCUUAUAGUCUCUUGCAACUUGGUUUAGCCAUUUAUUAUUUUUUCUAACAUAUGACCAUUAAUGUUUCAAGAAAUUGCCCUUAAUAAGGAUAUGGAGCUGAACAAGGAAACAAGGUAGGAUGUUAUGCCCUUUGUGUGUUGUGACCAUUUCUUUUCGGUCUGAAAUAUGUUCUCUGGAAAAACGGCAGAACUAGGAUAAUCCAUUUGAAAGAGAAACUAGCAACACUCUUAAUGCUUGAUGAUUAACAAUUUCUUGACUUAAUAUGUGAAAAUUUGCACUGAAAGUUGUGCAACUUACAGGAGUUAAGGAAAGCAGUUGCAGAUACAUUUUACGGAGAUGUAACAGUAAAAGAUACUGAAGUUUUUAUAUCCAAUAUCAAGACUUUCCGGAUAUAUUUGUUUACAGGUACUAAAAUCAAUAAAUUAUCAAGAAUUUGCUUAGGUGCUUGAUGUCACGCAGUUUGGCUACUUUAAGGUGCUGGGGAAGGGCUCAGGGACGAAACCGAUUGUGGUAAAGGCCAAGCUGGUGUCGAAAAUUGCGGAGAAGAAGAUUGAGAUGGGCGGCGCUGUUGUGCUUACUGCUUAGGAUUGAUUGUUUUUGUUUUAAUUGAAUUGGAUUAUACUGAUUGUAAUGGUUAUUAUUGAUUCUCACUACAAGAAAGAGGAAUCCAGGGAUUACUUUACCAGCAGCUGAAGUUGGGUUGGAAGUGUUGUCAAUCAAUCGAGUGGAAGUGCAGUGUUGAUAAAGAGAUUCUUUUCCCCUAUUGAUCAUGUCCAUUCCUGCGUGGAAUUGUGCUCAAAACUUAAAAAAAACUGUUGUUCUGCUUGGUUUAUCUAUCCAGUUGUCACUUGUGACACACAAUAAAAUUUAAGCAUUUUCUAGAUAUAAUUAGUGCAGGUGGUGGUUUUACUGAUUAUGUUUACUAUUGCAUGCUUGCUAAAACGUGACAAGUAUUUCCGUGUUUUUUUGGUCUGUCAAGAGUAGCUUCUGAACAAGUGUUGGGAACUCCUUUCGGAUAUAGCCAUUUAAAUAGUGUAUAUGUGCUGUAGCUGAAUUAAAUG